UUAGAUGGACUUUAAAUAAGUCCCAUAAACA
rnacentral:tRNA from 1 species